rnacentral:rRNA from 1 species
GUAGGGUGCAAGCGUUAAUCGGGAAUUACUGGGGCGUAAAGCGUGCGCAGGCGGUUAUGUAAGACAGUUGUGAAAUCCCCCGGGGCUCAACCUGGGGAACUGCAUCUGUGACUGCAUAGCUAGAGUACGGUAGAGGGGGAUGGAAUUCCGCGUGUAGCAGUGAAAUGCGUAGAUAUGCGGAGGAACACCGAUGGCGAAGGCAAUCCCCUGGACCUGUACUGACGCUCAUGCACGAAAGCGUGGGGAGCAAACAGGAUUAGAUACCCUGGUAGUCCACGCCCUAAACGAUGUCAACUGGUUGUUGGGAAUUCACUUUCUCAGUAACGAAGCUAACGCGUGAAGUUGACCGCCUGGGGAGUACGGCCGCAAGGUUG